rnacentral:rRNA from 1 species
AUUGAACGCUGGCGGCAGGCUUAACACAUGCAAGUCGAGCGAGCGGCGGACGGGUGAGUAAUGUCUGGGAAACUGCCUGAUGGAGGGGGAUAACUACUGGAAACGGUAGCUAAUACCGCAUACCAUCAGAUGUGCCCAGAGGGAAUUAGCUAGUCGGUGGGGUAAUGGCUCACCUAGGCGACGAUCCCUAGCUGGUCUGAGCGGAUGACCAGCAACACGGGAACUGAGACACGGUCCAGACUCCUACGGGAGGCAGCAGUGGGGAAUAUUGCACAAUGGGCGCAAGCCUGAUACAGCAAUGCCGCGUGUGUGAAGAAGGCCUUCGGGUUGUAAAGCACUUUCAGCGAGGAGGCGUUACUCGCAGAAGAAGCACCGGCUAACUCCGUGCCAGCAGACGCGGUAAUUC